CCCAGACUCCUACGGGAGGCAGCAGUGGGGGAUAUUGCACAAUGGGGGGAACCCUGAUGCAGCGACGCCGCGUGGGUGAAGGAGCGUUUCGGCGCGUAAAGCCCUAUCGGCAGGGAAGAAGGAGGACGGUACCUGACUAAGAAGCCCCGGCUAACUACGUGCCAGCAGCCGCGGUAAUACGUAGGGGGCAAGCGUUAUCCGGAUUUACUGGGUGUAAAGGGGGCGCAGACGGCAGCGCAAGCCAGGAGUGAAAGCCCGGGGCCCAACCCCGGGACUGCUCUUGGAACUGCGUGGCUGGAGUGCAGGAGGGGCAGGCGGAAUUCCUGGUGUAGCGGUGAAAUGCGUAGAUAUCAGGAGGAACACCGGUGGCGAAGGCGGCUUGCUGGACUGCAACUGACGUUGAGGCCCGAAGGCCAGGGGAGCGAAAGGGAUUAGAUACCCGAGUAC
rnacentral:rRNA from 1 species